GAGUUUGAUCGUGGCUCAGGAUGAACGCUGGCGGCAUGCCUAACACAUGCAAGUCGAACGAAGGCAUCGGCCUUAGUGGCGCACGGGUGCGUAACGCGUGGGAAUCUGCCCCUCGGUUCGGAAUAACAGUUAGAAAUGACUGCUAAUACCGGAUGAUGACUUCGGUCCAAAGAUUUAUCGCCGAGGGAUGAGCCCGCGUAAGAUUAGGUAGUUGGUGGGGUAAUGGCCUACCAAGCCGACGAUCUUUAGCUGGUCUGAGAGGAUGAUCAGCCACACUGGGACUGAGACACGGCCCAGACUCCUACGGGAGGCAGCAGUGGGGAAUAUUGGACAAUGGGCGAAAGCCUGAUCCAGCAAUGCCGCGUGAGUGAUGAAGGCCUUAGGGUUGUAAAGCUCUUUUACCAGGGAUGAUAAUGACAGUACCUGGAGAAUAAGCUCCGGCUAACUCCGUGCCAGCAGCCGCGGU
rnacentral:rRNA from 1 species